AAUUGGCUUAAUCUCAGCUGGCAACUGUGAGCACUCCAGAACCCCUCACGGUUGGAGCUGGGAUUGUGCUAAAC
rfam:Manacus vitellinus contig27530, whole genome shotgun sequence.